GACUGAGGCCUGAGACAGGCAAGAAAGUGUCACGCGUGGAGAUGGAAUGAAGUCAUGAAAAUGCCACCGAGAUAUCUUAACCCUUUGUCCCCAUGCGAUACGUGAAAGGGGCUUCGGAGCCCUUGAAACACCUGUUGAUCUGCACAGCAUCUAGAAAGACGGCGUGGGGCCCGAACAGACCCUUUUCUUGAGAUUGUUGCAAAGCCUGGGGACUUUGUAACACCAGGAGUAUUGAUCAAAUAUUUUAGAACUUGCUUGGACCUGUGCUGGGAUACCUUACUACCCGUCUGCAGAGAGCUGACAGCAUAAACCCUACAACCACGAAACGUAAGUCCUGGCUACCGACUAAAAGUAGUGGUCAAGUCGAGGCUAGAGAACUCCACAGGAAUUCCCGGUCCUGUGUGUUAUCA
rnacentral:lncRNA from 1 species